GGCACGAUGGUUUAGUGGUUAGUAUGUUUGACUUGCACAUUGAGUGUUGGGGGUUCGAAUCCUGCUUCUGCCC